rnacentral:rRNA from 1 species
UACGAAGGGUGCGAGCGUUAUUCGGAGUUACUGGGCGUAAAGAGCAUGUAGGCGGUUUAUUAAGUUAGUUGUUAAAUUUCACGGCUUAACUGUGAGCAUGCAGCUAAUACUGAUAAGCUAGAGCAUAGAAGAGAGAGGUGGAAUUCCCGGAGUAGCGGUAAAAUGCGUAGAUCUCGGGAGGAACACCGGUUGCGAAGGCGGCUUCUUGGUCUAUUGCUGACGCUAAAGUGCGAAAGCGUGGGGAGCAAACAGGAUUAGAUACCCUGGUAGUCCACGCCGUAAACGAUGGUCACUAGAUGUGGGUCGGGCAUAGCUUGAUCCGUGUCGAAGCUAACGCGUUAAGUGGCCCGCCUGAGUAGUACGGUCGCAAGAUUAAA